AAAGAAAAAUCUUUAUAUUAAUACACACAGCAAGCCUGUAUCGUAAUAUGAUAUAAUCUGUAGAUUAUAGCCAGAAUUCAAAGGUAGCUACAAAAACAUAGGAGGUAGCAUAUCACCAACAACUGCUGCUCUUUGCUAGCCUUUGCUAUGCUGGCUGUAACUAGCUUCCAUAAGCUAAUUAGCUCAGUUAGCCGAGGCGCCAGUGGCCCUAGAGUUUGUCUGGACCAGGACCGGUCAACUUAAUUUUAUAGCCAAAGAGUGAACAAGGCUGGACACCAAACUGGGACUGAACACAGUCUCCAAGACCAACGGAGGUUAGCUUGACAACCAGAGCUGCAGUAUGGAAGUGAUUCACAGCAGAUGCGACCACGACUAUGAUUUUGUGGAUGAUGAACCAUAGUUGGUUGUCGAAAGAAAAAACAAGACUGCCUUGGCACUCGUUCUCUACCCUCUCUCUGCCCGUUGCUGCAUAGUCUAACCAGCCCUCCUCCUCCUCCUCAUUCUCUUGCUCCUCCUCCUCCUCCCCCUCAGCUGCACAAAUGACGCAGCCAUGAUAUCACCCUGCAGCCCGUGUGUGGCCGACUCCAUCCAUUAUUCAUUCAGACGGGGUUCAUUUCUCGGUGUGGUGCUGCAGUGUCUCGUCCUGCAUUGCAAUAAAAAUAAAAAUAAUAAUAAUCCUGUGCUUUGAAGCAAAAUGUCGAUCUGUGUGUGUCCUUUGAUUAAACAGAAGACAUUAUUUCAGACCUGA